rnacentral:rRNA from 1 species
UACGAAGGGGGCUAGCGUUGCUCGGAAUCACUGGGCGUAAAGCGCACGUAGGCGGCUUUCUAAGUCAGGGGUGAAAUCCUGGAGCUCAACUCCAGAACUGCCUUUGAUACUGGCAAUCUAGAGUCCGGAAGAGGUGAGUGGAACUCCUAGUGUAGAGGUGGAAUUCGUAGAUAUUAGGAAGAACACCAGUGGCGAAGGCGGCUCACUGGUCCGGUACUGACGCUGAGGUGCGAAAGCGUGGGGAGCAAACAGG